CCUGCCCUCAGGAGGGGGAUAACCCCGGGAAACUGGGAAUAAUACCCCAUAGGUCUAGAAUGCUGGAAUGCUUCUAGGCCCAAAGCUCCGGCGCCUGAGGAUGGCUCUGCGGCUUAUCAGGUUGUAGUGAGAGUAACGUCCUCACUAGCCUAUGACGGGUACGGGCCCUGAGAGGGGAUGCCCGGAGAUGGACUCUGAGACACGAGUCCAGGCCCUACGGGGCGCAGCAGGCGCGAAAACUCCGCAAUGCUCGAAAGAGUGACGGGGGGAUUCCAAGUGCCUACGCUUAGCGUAGGCUGUUCAGAUGCCUAAAAAGCAUCUGGAGUAAGGGCUGGGUAAGACGGGUGCCAUCUGUGGCAGCAGCCGAAGAUUUGGCUUGCUACUACAAGGCAUAAGCCGCCGCGGUAAUACCCGCAGCCCGAGUGGUGGUCGAUUUUAUUGGGCCUAAAGCGUCCGUAUCCGGUCUGAUAAAUGCUUGGGUAAAUCGUCUGGCUUAACCAGACGAAUUCCGGGUAGACUGUCAGACUUGGGACCGGUUGAGGAAGAGGGUACUUUAGGGGUAGGAGUGAAAUCCUGUAAUCCUUGAAGGACCACCAGUGGCGAAGGCGCUCUUCUAGGACGGGUCCGACGGUGAGGGACGAAAGCCAGGGGAGCAAACCGGAUUAGAUACCCGGGUAGUCCUGGCCGUAAACGAUGUGGGCUUUGCAUUGGGGGUUCUACGUGGGCGCCCAGUGCCGUAGCGAAGGCGUUAAGCCCACCGCCUGGGAAGUAUGGUCGCAAGGCUGAAACUUAAAGGAAUUGGCGGGGGAGCACAGCAACGGGAGGAGCGUGCGGUUU
rnacentral:rRNA from 1 species